CAUGAUCCAGCAGUCGAGAGCACGUCACGUUCCAGCGUUGAUGGCUGCAAUAAACAAGCAGGCUUAGCGGCAAGCCGAGAUCCGCGGAUGGUGGGGGCGAUCUUGGGAACCCGGGCGGCAAGCGCAUCCCAUCAGCCAGCCGGGGAGCAUCAUCAGCGCAGCGGGCUGGGGAAGCCAAGGCUUUGCUUAGAAAAACGCC
rnacentral:lncRNA from 1 species